ACCCGCUUGGCACAUCGGUAAUGCACCUCACUAGAGAACCUGGCAGAACAAAUUACUGGGGAUUGCAAUGAGGAGAUGGCUGGUUCGACUCCAGUAGUGGGCA